CCAAUUCGGAUGAACAAGACUGUCCACCAUCAGAAAUAGUUCAGCUGUUAAUAAUUCAGGGGUUGGCAGAAUGGAGACCUAAGAAAACAUUUCCUCCCUCUGCUUUGCCACAACCUUGCUUUCAGAGUGGUGUGAGUUUCUUUCUAAUGUGUAGCUCAAAUCUUUCUUUGCUGCUGUCUUUACCCUGUUAUCAGUUAACUUUGCACCUCUCCCAUGUUAUGAUCAGCCCUUCCUGAUGGGACACAGCAUUCACAUGUAACAUCAAAAACCCAUGGACAGCAUUGCUGAUGUCUGUUUUUCCCUUUGGCUUGCUGUCUUUUACCUAACUAUAAAAGGAAAACAGAUGGGAGUUUUUAAGAGCAGGUUGUGUUUGCUGCUACCUGCCUCAUGUCACCUAUCCGGGAGCUUUCCAGCAGUCUGUUGUUCCACUUACUCUGGUGUGGGAAAGGCACCUUCUGCUGACUCAUCGGUGGAAGAUAAAUGAACUCUUGAUUCCAGCAGUUCACUCUGAUCCUGUUCUUCACGCAGUGGCUUUGCCUGGAUGUCCCUAUAGAGCACCUCCACAUGUGAGACUGUGCCCAGACAGCAGACCCAAAUGCACAGGCCCUGGCAGUCUGCUUUCUGGCCCUGAAGCAAGCCAGAUACCUCCCUGUAAUUUCACAGUUAAGUGGAAGUUAAUCUGGUUGGAAGAAAUCAGCAAACCAAAAAGGGUUACCAAGCCCAAAGAAUGGAAAACAAAAAUAAAACAAACAAACAAAGAAAAAAAUCCAAACGGAACCAACACAGGCUACAGAAAUGUUACAGGUAGAGGCGAUUUUUAUCAGAGGAUCUUAUCCAUUAAAAUGUCGAUGGUGUUGCAGACAUCCGUCCAGGAGCCUUUAGCAGCAAUCCCGUUGCCAACGAGAGACAUUCUUACCUUGGAGAGAAUUUCAGGCAGCCGCGACCAUCCCCGCCACCAGCUGUGGCUGAGAAUGGAUGUUUAGUAACUCAUCUCCAUGCCUGUUUGAAAAACAGCAUGGGCUGUGGCGGGGCCAGCGGGUUUGACUCUUCAUCUUGCGGAAUCAGACUCCCACUGGCAGCAUAUCUGAUAGAUUGCCAACAGAAGUGGAAUCAGCCCACUGAACGAUGCUCUCUGCAUCUCAUUUGAAUUCCAAAAGGCCUGCUUUUUCCCAUUAAUGUCAGUCGGGAAUAUCAGGGUGGCUCUGAAGUGUAGGAUGAUUACAAAGAAUAGUCACAAAAUAUCUUUCAGUCAAAAGGACCAUUACAAACAAAAUAGUCGGGAGUUACAGUCUAGCCUGUACCACCAUGUUCUUUAAAUUCCCAAUGAAGCUGUAGAAGCAGAUGGGGAUUCUCAACUCUCAUUUACUACGUCUGUGCCACAGUUCUACUGAAAAUUAAUAGUUUCAAAAUUGCCAGUAGCUUUGUCCUGUUAUAUAAAGUAUUUAACGUGCACAGGGUUUGCUCUUUGGGGAACAGACUUACCAGAUUCAGGAAAUAAAAGAUAAAGGAGCCACAUAUUGGAAAUUAAGAAUGUAUUAUUAAUAAUAUUAAUAUAUUAAUAUAUUAUAUAAUCAUUAAGUUUUGAAAAGACCUCUAAGAUCAUCCAGACCAACGACCAACCCAUCCCCACUCUGCCCACUGACCACGAACCUCAGUGCCACAUCUCCAUGUUCCUUGAACACCUCCAGGGACAGUGACUCCAUCACCUCCCUGGGCAGCCUGUGCCAGUGCCUCACCACUCUUUCUGAGAAUACAUUUUUCCUAAUAUCCACCCUAAAAGAAGACUUAAAUUCAAAUGCUUAGAUCAUACCGUAGUAAACCAGAAAUAAAUAACAUUCAUAGAAUCGCUAAGGUUGGAAAAGACCCACAGGAUCACCCAGUCCAACCAUUCGCCCAUCACCAAUGGUUCUCGCUAAACCAUGUCCCUCAACACAACAUCCAAACGCUCUUUGAACACCAAUUCCUAGUGGAGUUGAGCUCCUAAAAUUAUCUUUUAUGGGCCUAUCUGACUUGGAAAGAAAAAUCUACAGCAGAGGUAGGAACAGAUUCCUCUUUGAUUUCAGUCCAAGGUCUGAAGUGUUUGGCAGCACAAGCCUACAGAGCAAGAAGUAUCUGAUACUUGUUUGG
ensembl:lncRNA